GCCAGGAGGGAGCUGAGACUUACAUUUUGCUGUUCGCAAGCACUGAAGAAAAGCCCCAGGUUAUAUAAUGCUGAAACAAGUCCUCUUUCCUGGUGAAUUUCAUGCAUCGCCUCUACCACAACUCUCCCAGGCAGAUCGUGCAGUAAAGUUUGUGAAUGGUGCAGGAAUGUAGCACCUGCUCAAAUCCUGGGGUUUCUGUCUAACGUUUCAACACUGGACAUUGUCUACAUCUUUAUGGUAACCAUGCUGCUUUGCUCCUUUUUCACUCCUAAAUCCUCCUCCUAUGAGAUUGACAGCCACCUUGUCUUCUGCUACGAGGGACGGCUUCUCCCAUCGACAUCGCUACGGCCACUUGGGGAUGUGGAUGAACUACGAAGCUCUCCUGUCGGAAUAGCAGCAUCUUCGCUGAAGCGCUACAGUGGUGGUGCUGCUGCAGCAUUUUAAGUGCAAACCUGCCCUAGGAGACAAAGAAACCAAGCCAGCUGAUCUGUGAAAUGGAUCCCAGCCAGACCAGCCAAAAAAAGGCUGGAAAGGAGACUAGGGGGGAUUGAACUGUGCUGUAACAAGGAGGCAUAAGUGGGCUGAAGCCUGGGACGUGUCUGGUUACAACACAGGACAGAGAGGGAAUUCCUUAAGGCAAAACUAAAACACCAUGAACACGACGAGUGCCCAAAAGGCUCACUAGAAGUACUAGUGGCUUCUUUCACUAUAGGUGGAACGAAGGAAGGAAGAAUGACCUUUGUAUAUUUUGGAGGCAGUGGAGCAGGAGAAAAAAUGAUGGUCCAUACCGUCCCAAUGCUAUUCCUGAUAAGAGGACCUAGUGCUACAGUAUGACAGGCUAUAUUCAGGAGAAGGUGAACAGCAGCUCAAAACCAUGAGAAUCAAUUGCUAUAAGAUCUUUGGAAUGAAGAAAUACAAACCUUCACUAUGGAUCCUUGGAUUCCUGUUUCCCGUGGGCACAGAUUUACUUUUAAUAUAUUGAAGCAUUUUUCCUUAGACAUUCUUAAAAAAUUACUUUUCCCUACAUCUAAUUUAAAGAACUGAGAUCUGGCCAAAAUGGCACUAAUACAGUAGAGAUGGGCUGGUUCAUAUCUGGAUUAAGUUUAGGGUAGGUUUCAGGGCUGAAUUAGGACUUGGUCUGGUGGUACUGGAAGGCUCACAAGGUGUUCACAUAAGAUUUCAGCCCUAGAUGAUGACAACAUUUCAAGAUAAUGUGUAGUCUUGGUUAUAGCAGCACCACAAAAAUAGGCCUGUUCCAGGUUUGGAUCUUGAACUCUGCAGUUUGCUGAGUUCAGCUCUGGGGAUUUGAAUUCGAAUUUGCACAACAUUUGAAAGAAUGCAGAAAUCAGUUUCCAGCUUUGCCUCUUCUCUUUGAGAGCGUGAAAGAUUUCAUUUUUAAAGGAUUUUUAAAGCAUUUUUAAAUGCUAUGAUAACUUAUAUCUUGCUAAAUGUCUGAAGAUCACAUUUGUCUAGAUAACAGUUAGGAUAAUAUUGUAUGAUGAUAACGUACUCUUAGAUUAAAGCAAUGUGCUCAAGGAAUCCAUAUGUAUCAUUAUGGCCUCCUCCUAAAAUUUGCUGGCAGCUGUGAUUGUAACAUCUAGCACCUGGCUGGAAGAGCCAAAGAUAGUUCUGUAUUAGCCCCUUGACAGGUUUUCAUAUUAUCCAGCCAGAAAGGUAUUCUGAGAAGACUUCAUGCAAUAGUGAUGGAACUCACACUCCUUCCCUGGUGGUGAUAUUAUGCAUUAUUACUUAAAUGCACCUAUUCGCUAUGGGCUCUGUGCCUGCAAAUAAAAAAAAAUAUUCCAUUCUCAAGUCUCUUCCACAGGACUUUCAGGGAUAAAAUACAUCUCAAGACAUGCAAUCACAUGGCAGAAUGAAAAUCUUAUUUUAAUAUUGUUUGCAAAAUUGACAGAUCUACUUAACAGAAGCCAUUAAAAUAUUUACAAAGUAGCAGCUGCUCUUGUAAAAAUCCAGCUUUUU